rnacentral:lncRNA from 1 species
CUUAGUUGGUGGUGGCAGAGGCAGCGACGGCAGAGGAGAGGUUGAUGGUGCCAGAGAUUAGGAGGCUAGGGUUUCUUUUUCUGUUUAGGUUGUAGGCUUGUUGGGCCUUGGGGUUUUUUAUUAUUAUUUUGGGCCAUUGGGUCUUGUAAAUGGACUUGGUAAUUUGGAUUUUUUAUUUAUUUUUUGGUUUUAUUUAUUUGGUUCUAGGCUCGGGCAAAUUGGGCCUACUACAGCUGCCCCUCUUUACUCGUUGUCGUGUAACGAGAAUGGAGCAAAGACUUUUAAGAAGGAUCAAUUUCGCCCGGUCUUGCCGAAUCUUGACUUCUUGGUGCCUUUUCUCUUCAGUUAGCCUCAUUCCAAU